ensembl:lncRNA
UUUCACAUCAAGCCUUGAGUCGUCGGGGAGUCACGUGGACGCGCGUCUCCCUCCGGCUGCAGCUGGAUCCGGCGCUUGCAGGCCUGGAGGCGGCUCCUCCCGCCUGCUCUGCUCUGGGUCCCCGCGGAGCUGCUCAGAUAGAGUUCCCGGGACGGGAGUGCACGCUGGAACCCCUCCCGCCAGAGGCUCGGGGAGCCGGAGAGGUGGCCCCGGGGGCACUGAGCCAGGCGGCCGCCCGGCUGGCAGCCCGCGUCAGGCCUGUAGCUGAGCUGCGCUCUCCACAUGGUGCCCCGGACUUCACCCUCGUCCCUCACAAAAGCCGGGCUGUUGCCUUUCCUCCAACCUUUGGAAUUUUCUUCCGGCCCAAGGUUGACUAAUACUAGUCUUUCUAGUUUCUGGCUGGUGUUGCUUUUUUUAAAUCAAAAUAUCUCUCAAAUCUUUUUAUAAUCUAUGAGCUUCUUCUGCCACUUAAACUUUUUUUUGGGGGGGUCAAGACAAAUUUUUUGGAGCAGUUUUAAUGGCACAGCAAAAUUUAGGGGAAGGGACAGAGUUCGUCGUAUUCAAACAUUUCUCCUUUCACUCACUGACUCAGUCUAGUUGAGAUGGACGAGCAGACGGGCCGUUGCCAUGGCACUGGAUAGGCGCUCUGAUUGGCAGCAAGUGAGGACCAGGGAACAAGGCCGGGAUCUGAGGAAGAGUGUGUGAGUUUGGCUUUGGUUUCUUCCUUAGGCAAUAGGGAGGUCUGGGAAGAUUUGAAUCAGGAGAAAUACACAAGCCAGUUGCCAUUUUAGAAACCAUCUCAGGGAAGUGUGGGUGGAGAAAGGCAAGACUGGACUUGGGAGGCCAAGGGAGGAGCUGGUGGAGCAAUGAGGGUCUUAACUAAGGUCGUGGAGCGGGGAAGAAAGGAGACAUGGAUUCAGGGAUGUUAAGAAGGAAAAGUCUCGCAGACACUGGAGACAGACUGAGCUCGAUUCCUGGCUCUGUCUAAGUAAAAGGUGAUGCCCCGGACCAAGGUAGCAUAACCAGGAGGAGGAGGUGAUUUGGGGAAGUGGUGGUGAGUUGCAUAGACAUUUCCGCAGAAGCAGUGUCUCGGUUUGGGUUUCCCGAGGUGCAGAAUGUGAGUCCAGAACGUGACUGAAGGUGGAGAGCUGGGAGAGUAAAGAGAGGGGGAAAGCAACUGGACGAGAAGGAAGUGGACAGAGACGUGCGCCUCCAGCCCGCGGUUCCCUUUUUCAUCAGCAGCAGGGCUCCAGGCUCCUGCUUUCUCUGUGGAGCCGCCGGGCCUGGCACUGCAGCCGGGACAACCUCUUGGCUGGACUUGCCCCAUCUGUGAACCAGGGAGAUUCAGACAGAGCCCGUCAGGUCGGCACAGCUGGCAUGUGUGUUGUUUACACAGAUCAGGGGAGGGACUGGCGGUGCACCUGUGUGCGGCGCUCCUGAGAGUAAGAACAGCCACUUUCACUGACAGCUCACGGGCCCCGGGCCAGCCCACGUGCCCUGCGUGACUACUGAGCAUGGAGCGCUCUGCAGCAGAGAUGGACUCGACUGCAUUUCAACGAUAUUUAUGACAUAACCACCAUGUGCUGAGCGCCGCAGGAGGGAAGAAGGCACCCUGCUCCUGGGGGCUGGCGGCUCCUGUGGGUGAGCCUCUCUCUUGUUUGCCAGCCACCUCUGAGAAGUCCUCCCUGACCUCCCCUCGUCCUAAAAGUGGCUGGUACUUCUGGGCUGCCCUUUUACAGCCUCCUUCCUGUUGCGUUCUUGGCAUGCUGGCUGCUUCCCCCGACAUCAGUGGGGUCUGAGGGAGGGGCCGCAUGGAGACCCCCAUCAUCUCCCCUCCCAGGAGAGUCUGCUGUCGGUAUAGAUGACCAGUCGCUGGAGGAAAUGAAUGAAAUGAGUGCUGCCAUGGACUGAAUGGUGUCCCCCAGUUGCCCAUGUUGAAGCCCUGUGUUUGGAGGUGGGGCCUUUAAGGAGGUAGUUAAGGCUGAAAGAAGUCACAAGGCUCCAUCCCUGUAGGACGGGUAGUCUUAUAAGCAGAGGAAGAGAUUCAUUGCUCUCUUUGCCACAUGAGCACACGGUGAGAAGGCCACCUCCAGAACCACGAGACAGGAGCUUCUACCCUUCAAGCUCCCAGCCUGUGUGUUUCGUUACAGCAGCCAUCCCGACUAAUACACGUGUCUGCACCUCAGUUAACUCUCUGUCUCCUAGGACCCCAGAACUCCUGGGACUCCACUCCUGAGAGCUCCCCAAACUCUUGGCACCCCAGCAACAGUCCUUCUCUAAAUGCCACAGCCCACGUUUGUGAAAGGAUUUCAAUCUGAAAUGGAACCGGAAGAUAUAAAAUGGAAAAUCUCAUGCAUGUGCCCUCAGAAAAAUAAAACUUCAGGACUAGAAACAGAGUUUCUGUAAAUGCCUGGUUUACAGAAAAGUGAUAAUAUUACAGUUUUCUUAAAUGAGAGGGCCUUGGUCAUAGGUUGCCUCAUAUCAGCCUUGGAGGGUUUGCUUAUGGUUCCAGAGGUGAGAAAAAGAAAUGACCUGGGUUAGGCUCAUCUGAGAUUUGUUUGCCUGCCUGGGCUGGUUUUGUCUGCUCAGGGAACUUUCAGGCCUGGUCUGUGUACUUUUUUAAACUGAUUUUUAUUUUAAUAGACUAACUGGACUCUCCCUUCUUUACAUUUCCUGGCCAUAAACACAGCCUACCCCACACCUUUUACUGACUCACUUACGGCUUCUACAGUUUGUGUGCCCUGAUGCAAUUACUGCUGUUCCUGAAUAAACUCAUCUUUUCGGCA